UACAGAGGGGGCAAGCGUUGUUCGGAAUUACUGGGCGUAAAGGGCGCGUAGGCGGCCUGCUAAGUCGAACGUGAAAUCCCUGGGCUCAACCCAGGAACUGCGUCCGAUACUGGUUGGCUUGAAUCCGGGAGAGGGAUGUGGAAUUCCAGGUGUAGCGGUGAAAUGCGCAGAUAUCGGGAGGAACACCAGUAGCGAAGGCGACUCGCUGGGCCGUUCCUGACGCUGAGACGCGAAAGCUAGGGGAGCGAACAGG
rnacentral:rRNA from 1 species